UGAAUAUAUCCUCAAAAAUGUUGUUUGAUAUAUGGGUAUAAUUACAGCUUCAAAUAUCCACUUUUUAUGUUAUAUAUGUGCAUCAUAAAUCUAGUAGAAGAGCAGAAAAGAGAUAUAUAAACACGGCGUUCCGGAGACGGUUGACGGUAGUCCAGUUUGAGGACAUUAUUCUUACGUAUAUUUCUACAUAAUGGUGCCAUACGUAGAUAAAUGGCUGUUAUCAGAGAGGGAAGUACUGGGAUCUGUGGGCAUUACGUAGAUUAAUGACCGCCAUUACCAGAGUAUCGUGUGGACAAUAUGGUGCUGAGAGAUAUAGUUGCUAGGCAAGUA